rnacentral:rRNA from 1 species
GACGAACGCUGGCGGCGUGCCUAAUACAUGCAAGUCGAACGCAGUGGGGACGGGUGAGUAACCCGUGGGUAACCUCCCAUCAGAGGGGAUAACACUUGGAAACAGGUGCUAAAUCGAUACCGAUGUAUGGACUCGCGGUGCAUUAGCUAGUUGGUGAGGUAACGGCUCACAAAGGCCACGAUGCAUAGACGACCUGAGAGGGUGAUCAGCGAACCGUGGACUGAGACACGGCCCAGACUCCUACGGGAGGCAGCAGAAGGGAAUCGUGGGAAAGGGACGAAAGUCUGACCGAGCAACGCCGCGUGAGUGAAGAAGGUUUUCGGAUCGUAAAGCUCUGUUGUUGGAGAAGCGGUAUCUAACCAGAAAGCCACGGCUAACUACGUGCCAGCAGCCGCGGUAAUAC